CGAGGCUGCUGGAUGUCUGCGAGCACAAACCACAGCGUGGCUUCCCAUGGCUGGAACCCAACAAGGGCGGUUUGGUUUCCUCUGCACUGAUUGAUGAUGGCUUCUAAUAGCUCUUGGACCCUGGGGAACUGGAGCUUCAUGGCAGAGCAGCUCAGACAAAGGCCAAAAGGAGGAGAUGAGAAAGAAAUCACUGUGAAAAUAUGCUCUGAAAAAUGUAUUGGCUUGCAACACUCCAUGGAAGUUCUCAAAGCAAGAAAAUCUUUAUUGAGAAACUGAAAAAUAUUCUCCCAGUCUUUUUUUUUUCACAGGCAAAAGAAUAGAAGUAUGUUAACCCAACCAAUAUUUGGUUGGUUGGUGGUUGGUUGCUGGAAAAUCAAGUGAAAUGGGAAGAGGUCCAUUGAUUGCCGCUAAAGCCAUCUGUGUGCUUGGGCAGCCUCUCCCUGGCCCUGCUGGGCAGCAGCUGAUGGUUCACGUGCUUUUCACAUUUUUAGUUGAUUUUUUUUUUUUCCAGACAACUUGGAUUUCACUUGAAAUCUGUCUGGCAGGACCUGGCCUCCAGCCUGCUUGGAACCCAUGGAGAUUAAUGACAUGGAAAAUGAGGAACGCUGACUGUAAAGCUCUGAAACUGUGGGAAAAGGCAGCUUAGAGCCAGGCUUCGGUGAGGAGGUGUGUGACUUGGUCUGGGAUGGUGUUUGGAGAGGCAAAGGCUCCUGCUGCUCUUUCAAGGGAACAGCCUCGUAUUUAAUAAGAACUCUCUCCUCACAAUGGAACUGGAGUGUUUCAAGUACAGCAAGUCCUUUCCUUCCCCUCCUGGCGGUGUGAUCCAGGUUUCUGCGGUCAAGAACGUGUUCGUGAAAACAUGGACAGCACGAGUUGGAGGAGGAAUCAGCCAGGAACUCCCUUCUCUGAUUCCAUCUCCUGUGAGAUGUUCUGUGAGGAGGAGGAAGGUGCUCACCCUGUUCAGAUUGGGAGGGGGAGGUUGGGGUCUCCAGCAGCAGGAGGAACAUAGAAUCGUAGAACAUCCUGAGUUGGAAGGGACCCAUGGGGAUCAUCGAGUCAAACAGCGGGUCUCUGCUUGGGAAUGGGGAUGCAGGUGAUGUUCCUCUGGCCUGGCUCCAUUGGGCUUUCCAGCCACAGGGAACGAGUCACCUCCCUGUCACAGGAAACAACACUGAGACGUGUCUUAAAAUCACCUCUUGUUUAAUGCUGUUAAGAAGGAAUAAGCAGGUUGGGUUAGAUUAUACCAGCGAGGAAGGGUUUAUGUAGCAUGGGACAUGGGAAAGUAGCACCUGAGACAAUAUGAGCCAUGCAUGAGAAGUCACUGUCAUGUGGUUUUUCUUGAGAUCUAAAGAGAGAGGCUGAAGAAAUGCAGAUUUACACACUUAUUUGUGCCCAGACAACAGGCUCUCAGUUGGGAAAGUCCUCUGGGUAAAGCGUGCAUCCCUCCACUAGGCAGGUGUAGUUAAUUCUGAGCAGCAGAAAACCUGUGAGCACUAUGACUGUGAGCCCCUGCAUCAAAUGAAAGAGAAACAGAAAUCCUUAGUCGGUGGGGGUAAUACAUUCCCCUAAGGAUGUGCCUCACAUUAUUAUCCCAAAGACUUUAGCCAUGAGAAGCAUUACCAACACCGCCAGGCUGCUGUCAGACCUCUAAUUAAUAGAGAAGUAGCAGUUUCAGGAGCCUAUACUCCUAACAAAAUUCACCUAUGAACAACUUUUUGGGCCUAUUGUCCCAACAGAAGGGGCUUGGACCCCUCUACUGCUGAAACCAAUGAGAAGGGGAGGUGAGGAUGAACGAGUCCUUAGAUAGGGAAAAGUAGAAAUCAGUUGGAAAGAAGAAAGAAAGAUACAUUUGUGUGUAUGCAUAUAUGUAUGUAUUUUUAUAUAGAUAAAUUUAUGUAAAAAUCUGACCCAGACCUGAACUUUUCUGGCAUGGAAGCAACAUUAAGGAGGAAAUACAGCCCUGCCU
ensembl:lncRNA